rnacentral:rRNA from 1 species
AUACGGAGGGUGCGAGCGUUGUUCGGAAUUACUGGGCGUAAAGGGCGCGCAGGCGGCUUGAUAAGUCAGAUGUGAAAGCCCACGGCUCAACCGUGGAAGUGCAUCUGAAACUGUCUGGCUUGAGUACUGGAGAGGAAUGUGGAAUUCCUGGUGUAGAGGUGAAAUUCGUAGAUAUCAGGAAGAACACCGGUGGCGAAGGCGACUUUCUGGACAGAUACUGACGCUGAGGCGCGAAAGCGUGGGGAGCAAACAGGAUUAGAAACCCCGGUAGUCC